UACGUAGGGUGCAAGCGUUAAUCGGAAUUACUGGGCGUAAAGCGUGCGCAGGCGGUUAUGUAAGACAGGUGUGAAAUCCCCGGGCUUAACCUGGGAACUGCAUUUGUGACUGCAUAGCUAGAGUGCGGCAGAGGGGGAUGGAAUUCCGCGUGUAGCAGUGAAAUGCGUAGAUAUGCGGAGGAACACCGAUGGCGAAGGCAAUCCCCUGGGCCUGCACUGACGCUCAUGCACGAAAGCGUGGGGAGCAAACAGG
rnacentral:rRNA from 1 species